rnacentral:lncRNA from 1 species
GCGGCGGAGUCCCUGGGGGUAACAUGGCUGGCGAUGACGACCGCAGAUUAUUGAUCUCUUCCACUAUAACCUCCUUCUCCACUUCUUCCAUUAUCGGCAGGUUCUCGAGGCUGCGGCGGCGAUGGCGAGGCUGCGGAGGCGGGGCAGGUGGUGGUUCUGCGGACGCCAUCUCUGAUAGCGUAGCGCCCAGCUCCUCCGGGCUCCACGUCCUGCUCCUCGCCGGCAUAGCGAGAGUCCCCGUGGGAUGCGUCCUCUCCUCCUCCACCUCAACCAUCUUGGGUAGCCUCUCGAGGCUACGGCGGCGACGGCGAGGCUGGGGCGGCGGGGCAGGUGGUGGGUACGCGAACGCCAUCCCCGACAGCGUAGCGUGCAGCUCCUCCGGGCUCCACGUCCUGCUCCUCGCCGGAGUAGCGAGAGUCUCCGUGGGAUGCGUCCUCUCCUCCUCCACCUCAACCAUCUCGGGGAGGCUGCGGCGGCGACGGCGAGGCUGCGGCGGCGGGGCAGGUGGUAGUUGUGCGGACGCCAUCCCCGAGAGCGUAGCGCCCAGCUCUUCCGGGCUCCACUUCCUGCUCCUCGCCGGUGUAGCGAGAAUCUGCGUGGGAUGAAUCCUCUCCUCCUCCACCUCAACCAUCUUGGGGAGCCUCUCGACGCUCCGCCUCCGCCUCCUCGCACCCUGAGGGAGCACCUCGUAGGUGUCCACCGGGAUCGUCU